GACGAACGCUGGCGGCGUGCCUAACACAUGCAAGUCGAACGGGGUUACGAGAGCUUGCUCUUGUAACUUAGUGGCGAACGGGUGAGUAACGCGUGAGAAACCUGCCUCUCAGUGGGGGACAACAGUUGGAAACGACUGCUAAUACCGCAUAACACUUUAGUACCGCAUGGUACAGAAGUCAAAGCUUUAUGUGCUGAGAGAUGGUCUCGCGUCUGAUUAGCUAGAUGGCGGGGUAACGGCCCACCAUGGCGACGAUCAGUAGCCGGACUGAGAGGUUGACCGGCCACAUUGGGACUGAGAUACGGCCCAGACUCCUACGGGAGGCAGCAGUGGGGAAUAUUGGGCAAUGGGCGAAAGCCUGACCCAGCAACGCCGCGUGAAGGAAGAAGGCCUCGGUUGUAACUUACUUUAGUCAGGACGAAGGACGUGACGGUACC
rnacentral:rRNA from 1 species